ACAGAGGGGGCAAGCGUUGUCCGGAGUUACUGGGCGUAAAGCGCACGUAGGCGGUCCUGCAAGUGGUGUGUGAAACCAAUCAGCUUAACUGAUUGACGCCAUGCCAAACUGCAAGACUCGAGUCAUGGAGAGGUAGUUCGAAUUGCUGGUGUAGUGGUGAAAUGCGUAGAUAUCAGCAGGAAGACCAAGGGAGAAAUCAGACUACUGGCCAUGAACUGACGCUCAGGUGCGAAAGCGUGGGGAGCGAACUGG
rnacentral:rRNA from 1 species